CGAAAAGGAAACCAGUAGAGCCCUGAUGGAAAGAGGGGUGGGCGACAGAUAAAGGACCCAUUGGCCACAGUAGAUGACUGGGGUUUCAUUUGUUAGGGACAUACCAUUAACAUCUAUACUACCUGGUCAGUGAACCCCAGUGUCCCAUCUGUCUCAUCUCCCAGGCUCAGGUUAAAGCCAUGCACCUGGCUUUAUAGACAGGUGAUGGGGGAAAUACUUCUAUGUAUGUUUAUCUUAUUGAUUGUUAAAUAAAGUACUUGCUUGGCCAAUGAGACAGCAGGUUAGGCUGGACUAGGAGUCAAAGACGAUUCUGGGAAAUGUAGUAGAGAAGUGGUGUUCCAGGCAGGAAGUGACAUAGCAAGGAGACUCAAAUUUAAAAAGAGAAAAAAGGAAGUGUCGCUCUCUUUUCCCGUUCCUGCUCCAGUGGCAGGAUGUGAUUCACCAGCAAGGAGGGACACCAAUAAGGCGUUGAUAAGCUGUACAGCACACUUGUGGGCUCGAUACCGAUGCGUAGCUGGGAUGACAGGUGUGUGACACCACAUCUGGUGUGUCUUGCCUUCGCUGUGCCCUCUCACCUUUGCACCUUUGCCCAGAGUUGAAGCAGCAUGUGACUGGCACAGAAGAAAUGAAGAGACACUUGCUUCUCCACUGACUGGCAGACCCUGGAGAGAGUGGACCCCUCCCCAGUGUGAAUUUCCCUAGGAAUCUCACCCCAGGAAAAGGAAGAGGCACCAGCCAGAGGAGAACAUCUCCUGGGAAGAGACUCUCAGAGCUAUGAUAACUCCCACUGCACUGGAUGAGACUGAAGCCCAGACCAGGAUGGGUCACUGGAAAGGACCACCCCUUGGCCAGUGUCAGGAGCCAGCCCUGGUCAGAUAUAAAAGUCUCCUUUACAAGAGGCUUGGCGACCUCCAUGCUAAACUGCCAAUUUAGUCAAACACCCCACCCCUUAGGUUAGUGUUCCGAGAUAAACCACAGGAAUGUUCCGGACACCUGCCCAGGCCUGAGGGCAUUAAAACACCCACUCCUCCCCCUCCCUUACUUCCUCUUUCUUUACUUCCUCCUUUCUCUUUAAAAACUCCUUGCUUAAGUUCAAUAAACAGACCUUGACAAGCCAUUGCUUAGUCUCACUCUUUCUCGCCCAUUUAUUUUCAGGCUUAGUCCCCCUUGAGACCCACAAAUUACCAGAAUCCCACGAUUACCAGAACCCCCGAGGGCUGGGGCAGGCCAGGACAAUUAGGUACACAUACCUCUAGCUCUCCCCUGAAGCUUUAAUUUUAUUUCAGGAGCCCAAAGACAGACUUGAGGGGGUGUCUUAGUUAGGGUUUCUAUUGCUGUGAUGAGAUAUCAUGACCACAGCGACACUUACAAAGGAAAACUUUUAACUGGGGCUGGUUUAUAGUUCAGAGAUUUAGUCCAUUAUUGUCAUGGUGGGAAGCAUGGUGGCAUGCAGGCAGACAUGGUGCCGCAGAAGGAGCUGACAGUUCUAUAUCUGGAUCCUCAGGCAGCAGGAAGAGACAGUGACAAACUGUUCUGACACCUCAAAGCCCACCACCAGUGACACAUUUCCUCCAACAAGCCACACCCACUCCAACAAGGUCACACCUCCUAAUAGUACCACUCCCUAUGGGCCUCAGGGGCCAUUUUUUAUUCAAACCACCACGGGGGGGGGGGGAAGAGGAGAGAGGGGGUCACCAGAUCUUUUUUAUCCCUCUUCCCAAAGUGUCCACAUUGAAUAAAUCUCCCCUUUCUACUGCUUUCCACCAUUAAGUGUGGCAGUGUGGCUCUGUUAAUUGGCUUAUUAACGAUAUGGAUUGGGGCACAGGCAGUGAGUGACCCUUAAGUUCAGUAUUAAUCACACAGUUGUGGCCAUAUAUACCACCUCACCACAGACUUCCCAGCCUCCAGAACCAAGCACCAGACACAUAUCUUUUUGCCAUCACACUUUCCAGUCUGUGACAAUAACAAGACUAGGACAAAAGUUGUACUAAGGGCGGUCCCUAACAGCAUCAGAAAUGUUAGCGAUUUUCUUUCACCUAGGUCUUCAAUUUCUGAAAGUACAAUCACUGAGAAGUGAGGAGGAGGGUGUGCCUACCCCCAUUAGAAAUGGAUGACAGAGAAACCAUGACUAUCUAAGGACAACAAGUCUUAGGCAAUGGCUGAAUCGGAGUCGGUUGGGCCACGUGUGUGACUCAGCCAGACCUGAGACAUUCUGUUCUGUGUUUUCUAAGUAAGAUCUGUGGGUGUGCCUUGGAGUGGGUGACUUCUGUUUGAGUCAGAAAACCUCUCUUGAUUUCCCCCAUACCAUGCCUUUUUUUUUUUUUAUGGGCCACCAACCAGCUUCCAAAUCAUGACAUGGAGAUUUAGUAUUAAUUAUGAAUACUCAGCCUAGUUUAGGCUCUCUUUAACUUAACUGGCUAGCUCUCUUUAACUUAAAUUAACCUGUUUCUCUUUACCUUUUACCUCAGGGCUUUUUACCUCCUCAACCCCUCAUCCCCCGUUCCUUGUCUGUUUGUAUCACUUUCCUGCUUCCUCUAGUAGUGUCUGUCUGUCUGGGGGCUGCCUGGAGUCUAGCUCUAGACAUGUGUCUCUCUUUCUCCCUCAUUCUCUUCUCCUCCGCCCCUCUCUAGAUUCCUCCUUCUAUUGGUUCUCUCUACCCUCCAGCCCCACCUAUCCCCUCUCCUGCCUAGCUAUUGGCUGUUCUGCUUUUUAUUAAACCAAUCAGGUGCCCUAGGCAGGCAAAGUGAAACAAAUGAGGCACAUCUUUACAUGGUUAACAAAGGCAGCAGAAACAAACGUAACACAUCUUUGCAUAGUUAAAGUGAUAUUUAACAACGUGCCUUGGAUCUUUUGGCAGGGUCAUUCCAUCUUAAGGCACUCCAGUGUUUGUACCUGGGUUGGGCAGCACAAAUGUAGCACAGUCUAAUAAACCAGUGAUGACUGAGAUUCAGGGGUUGGCUUCAGAGCACAGCAUGCCUCUCUCUGACUGAUGUCCUUUUGGUCCUGGGCUUGCAAUCCCAGCACUCAGGACCAUUGACUGCCGGAACCUGGCAUUUCCAUGUUAGGCACACAAGAAUGGUGAUUCCCACAUGACAGAAGGGGACCUAGACCAAAGACUAAGAGAGGACAAGGGCAGGUUCUCAGGCCUGAGGUGCAGAUGGAAUCUUGUUCACUGUGUCCCCAGAGGUUUGAGGGAACUGAGAUCCAUGGGCAGGGGCGGUGGAGAUGGCUCAUCAGGUAGAUACCUGACCAUCUGAGUUCCCCUCCCAUGACCCACAUGGUGGGAGGGGAGAAUGAAUUCUCAAAAGUUGUCCUAUGACCUCCACUCACACACACACAUAUUAAUAAAUAGAUUUAUAGAUGGUAGAUAGAUGAUAGAUAGAUGACAGAUGGAGA
ensembl:lncRNA